UGAACUCAGGUGCCCCCCAGGGAUACGUACUCAGCCCCUUACUGUAGUCCCUGUUAAUGCAUGACUGCGUUGCCAAACACAGCUCCAGUGUAAUUUUCAAGUUUGCUGAUGACAAUCAUCCUGGGCCUCAUCUCAAAUGAAGAUGAAACAGCCUAGAGAGAGGAAAUCAGAGCUGUGUCACAAUGACCCCUCUCUUAACAGCAGCAAAAUAAAGGAAAUGAUACAUGGACUCAAACACAUUAACAAAGCUGCUGUGGAAACAGUAAGGAACUUCAAGUUCCUCAGUGUUCACAUCACCAUCGACCUCACCUGGUUCUCCUAAUACUGAUACAAUCAUAAGGUCUGCCUGCCAGAGAUUGUAUUUCCUGUGGAAGCUACAGAGGUCCAGACUGAAAAAUCCAAACCCUAAAAUCCUCACCAUCUUCUACCAUAAAAAGCAUCCUAACUGGGUGCACCACUGUGUGGUAUGGCAGUUGCACAACCUCAAGGCUCUCCAGAGUGUGGUGAGAACUCAUCACAGCCAACAAGUUCCCAGCCACAAAUGACAUUUACCAAACACAGUGCUUGAGUGCAUCCAAUCAUAGACAAGCUCAGUACAAAACAGUUUUUACCUGCAGACUCUCAGGCUCCUAAACAGCCUGUAGGCCAGCUCAUCUACAUACCCAGUGUUACUGUGACUUUACAUCAGGGGUUCCCAGACUAGGGGUCACAAGCGAAACUCACAAACUCCUCUUCUGUUUCAUUCAUUUAUUAUACUAAUUAAUAUUAGAAAACCUAAGACAGAUUUUGUGUGCUAAUAUUUCUAAAUGUUACUGUGAGUCACAUUCAGACAAGCUACGUUUAAAUUAAUAUGUGCAAUUUUUUUUUUUUCCCUUGACACCUGACACGCUGCACUAGUGUAGUUCAGCAAAAAAGAUGGACAAAUUUCCUCGUCCGUCUACCUCCGCGUGCCUCAAGUCGCAAACUUGUACUAUAAUAUACUAUUCUGGACCAUUAGUGCUAACACUAUCCGGUUUUCCGAUUACAAUUGGCAUUUAAAUUUUAAAAACCUCUCAUGUGGCUUCAAACCUACCGAAAGGUCUGUUCGGCGUACCAGUUUUCUGGAUUUUUCGACUGGUGUAUGGUGAAGUGGUACGGGGAAGUGGUAGCUCAGUGGUUAAGACGUUGGACUCCUGCUCGAAAGGUUGAGAGUUCAAAUCCCAGCACCACCAGGCUGCCACUGCUGGGCCCUUGAGCAAGGCCCUUAACCCUCAACUGCUCACUAAAUGAGAUAAUUGUAAGUCGCUCUGGAUAAGGGCGUCUGCCAAAUGCCGUAAAUGUGUUCUGGCGUUUUCAAUUUGAGACGCAGCCCAUGACAACAAUCACGAAGGACGCGGGAAGUUUUAAGACAAACAGAGCUCGUCAGUGUGUUUAACAUUUCUCUGCAUAAAAUCGCUAAAAAUCUUUCUGACUUGGAAAAACCCGACGGACGGGAUGUUUUGCUCUGACAUGCCGUCUAGUGGAUGCCACUUUUAAAUCUUUGAAUAAUAUAGCAGUUGCAUUACUGCUGCUUCUGCACGCGCACGGAAAAUCAUGCAUCAUGCAAGUACAAACCAGGCUGCUUCACCACCCCGCCAUGGAUUAUUUUCCUCAAACACACUUCGCACUAGACUGACGAAAACGAUGAAGAGGAGGAUGACGACAACACUUCUAGCACCCUCAGCCGCGCCAACCUGUCCACCUGCCAACCGCAGAGCCCCUUAGGUCCUAAGCCCACUUACCCUUCCUGUUUCUGUAAAUAAAAGUCAAUUGUGCACCUUA